CGCCUACGGGAGGCAGCAGUGAGGAAUUUUCGUCAAUGGGGGAAACCCUGAACGAGCAACGCCGCGUGGAGGACGAAGACCUUCGGGUUGUAAACUCCUGUCGGACGGGACGAAAUCUAUCGAGGUUAAUACCCUUGGUAGUUGACGGUACCGUACGAGGAAGCCCCGGCUAACUUCGUGCCAGCAGCCGCGGUAAUACGAGGGGGGCAAGCGUUGUUCGGAAUUACUGGGCGUAAAGGGCGCGUAGGCGGUUUGGCAAGUCUUCCGUGAAAGCCCACGGCUCAACCGUGGAACAGCGGGGGAAACUGCCAGACUUGAGUCCGGGAGAGGGGAGUGGAAUUCCCAGUGUAGCGGUGAAAUGCGCAGAUAUUGGGAGGAACACCGGAGGCGAAGGCGUCUCCCUGGACCGGUMCUGACGCUGAGGCGCGAAAGCCAGGGGAGCGAACGGGAUUAGAUACCCCGGUAGUCCUGGCCGUAAACGAUGAGCACUGGAUGUGGCGGGUAUUGACCCCUCCCGUGCGCAAGCUAACGCAUUAAGUGUCCGCCUG
rnacentral:rRNA from 1 species